AAAUUGAAGAGUUUGAUCAUGGCUCAGAUUGAACGCUGGCGGCAGGCCUAACACAUGCAAGUCGAGCGGAAACGACACUAACAAUCCUUCGGGUGCGUUAAUGGGCGUCGAGCGGCGGACGGGUGAGUAAUGCCUAGGAAAUUGCCUUGAUGUGGGGGAUAACCAUUGGAAACGAUGGCUAAUACCGCAUAAUGCCUACGGGCCAAAGAGGGGGACCUUCGGGCCUCUCGCGUCAAGAUAUGCCUAGGUGGGAUUAGCUA
rnacentral:rRNA from 1 species